UUUUCAAUCAAAAAAUGUGCCUUAUUAGUUUAAAAAAGGUUGAAAAAAACUGGUUUAAGUAAUUUUGCAAUCUUCAACACCUGUUACUGCCACCUAGUGGCGAUAGGAAAAUGCCACGCCUCGUUUUUUUGGCCACUUCCGGUUUGACGAUGAGACAAUGGAGAAGUCGACAAGAAAGAUAAGUUUUCAAGAUUCCCACACGAAGGACCUACAUUGACCCGGAGACUUGUGAGGACCUGCUGCAGGCGGUCCAUGCCUUCGCCAAGGAGUUGGACAACUCCAGCAUCAAGAUAGAAAGGAUUGUUCACACAGGCGACUUUGGGGAG